GAUGAACGCUGGCGGCGUGCCUAAUACAUGCAAGUCGAGCGAACGGACGAGAAGCUUGCUUCUCUGGUGUUAGCGGCGGACGGGUGAGUAACACGUGGAUAACCUACCUAUAAGACUGGGAUAACUUCGGGAAACCGGAGCUAAUACCGGAUGAUAUUUUGAACCGCAUGGUUCAAAAGUGAAAGACGGUCUUGCUGUCACUUAUAGAUGGAUCCGCGCUGCAUUAGCUAGUUGGUAAGGUAACGGCUUACCAAGGCAACGAUGCAUAGCCGACCUGAGAGGGUGAUCGGCCACACUGGAACUGAGACACGGUCCAGACUCCUACGGGAGGCAGCAGUAGGGAAUCUUCCGCAAUGGGCGAAAGCCUGACGGAGCAACGCCGCGUGAGUGAUGAAGGUCUUCGGAUCGUAAAACUCUGCUAUUAGGGAAGAACAUAUGUGUAAGUAACUGUGCACAUCUUGACGGUACCUAAUCAGAAAGCCACGGCUAACUACGUG
rnacentral:rRNA from 1 species